rnacentral:rRNA from 1 species
AACAGUGAAACAGCCUUGCUGCUUCGCUGACGAGUGGCGGACGGGUGAGCUAAUGUCUGGGAAACUGCCUGAUGGAGGGGGAUAACUACUGGAAACGGUAGCUAAUACCGCAUAACGUCGCAAGACCAAAGAGGGGGACCUUCGGGCCUCUUGCCAUCGGAUGUGCCCAGAUGGGAUUACCUAGUAGGUGGGGUAACGGCUCACCUAGGCGACGAUCCCUAGCUGGUCUGAGAGGAUGACCAGCCACACUGGAACUGAGACACGGUCCAGACUCCUACGGGAGGCAGCAGUGGGGAAUAUUGCACAAUGGGCGCAAGCCUGAUGCAGCCAUGCCGCGUGUAUGAAGAAGGCCUUCGGGUUGUAAAGUACUUUCAGCGGGGAGGAAGGGAGUAAAGUUAAUACCUUUGCUCAUUGACGUUACCCGCAGAAGAAGCACCGGCUAACUCCGUGCCAGCAGCCGCGGUAAUACGGAGGGUGCAAGCGUUAAUCGGAAUUACUGGGCGUAAAGCGCACGCAGGCGGUUUGUUAAGUCAGAUGUGAAAUCCCCGGGCUCAACCUGGGAACUGCAUCUGAUACUGGCAAGCUUGAGUCUCGUAGAGGGGGGUAGAAUUCCAUGUGU